ensembl:rRNA 5S_rRNA 5S ribosomal RNA
GUCUCGGGCCACACCACCCUGAGCGCACCCGAUCUCGUCUGAUCUCAGCAGCUAAGCAGGGUCAGGCCUGAUUCGUACUUAGAUGGGAGACAUUUGAUGAAAAUGGACAAACCCCCUCUUGGGAGCUGUGGAGGGGCU